ACAUUUUCACAAACCCUAUUUCAUUCUUCUCCUUCACCUUUCCAUCACAAGAUCCUCUUUCCCUCUGUUGUUCAUCCUCCUCCUUCACAUUUUCAUCUCAUCAACAACGUCCGGCAGAGGUUACAUCUAUUGGAUACAUCUGCAUUUGAAACCUUAAAUCAUGUACCGUCGAGUAGUUGAAGAACAUAAUAAUCAUAAGAAGAAGAAGCUCUCCUAGGGUUACUUAUCGUACACAAUGAACCCUUUUGUACAAGCUCCUGUUAAUCGGUGACCCUGAUGCUUGCUUUGUUGUACCAUUGAGUAGUUGAAGAACAGAAUAAUCAUAAGAAGAAGAAGCUCUCCUAGGGUUUCUUAUCGUACACAAUGAACCCUUUUGUACAAGCUCCUAUUAAUCGGUGACCCUGAAGUAACCUCUGCCGGAUGGUUGUUGAGGAGUUGAAAAUGUGAAAGAGAAGGAGAAGGACGCAUGUUCUACUUGAUUAUUCAUGUGGCAACUUUAUAAUUUCAGGCUUGUGAAUUAAGAUCACCCGUCAUCUUACUUUGAGCAAUUAAACGGAGUUUUCUUAAACAACACGAUAAGUUUCGUUCAUUAAUCCAUGCAUUUGUUAAUUCCUGAUGUUUUUUUAUUCUUAAUCGUUGAUUCUGUUUCAGGUACACUUUUUGUUGUUAGUUCCAUGUGUUUAUUUCAGAUUAAUUGUUGCUAUAUAUAUUGGUUUUGUUUUGACGAAAAGGGAAAACGUUCGAGCCGUUUGAUCCAAGAACCGAAGAAAACAUGUCGGAUAUUGCUCAAGGAGAUUAAGAUGAUGUUGAUCUGGCUAUUGAAGCUGCACGUUGAUCCACAAUAAGCACUGCCCAUCUAAGUUUCCUCUAAUAACAGUGGUUAUAACAAGUUAAUAAGGCAAAACACUGAUCUGCCUAACAACUGUUGGAUAUAAAGACUGUUGUACACAAAAACUGAUGAGGAUUAUCCACUGUUGAAGACCAAAGCACUCAUGAAGACCAAAGCUCUGUUGAAGACAAGCACUGAUGAACCAAAGUUCUGAUCAACCAAAGGUGAACCACUGCCCAACAACAACAGUGGUUCAGCAUCAACAACAGUUAUUCUACCUUUGUUUAUGUUAACAGUGUUUAUAUGUAACAAUAUUUAUCACUGGGGUGUGCACGGUUCGGUUCGGUUUUGAGCCAAAACCAAAACCGUAACCGCUAUAAUCGGUUUUUACAUUUCUAUAACCGAUCGAUUUCGGUUAUUUCGGUUUUUUUUUUGUUUUUUUUUUGUUUUUUUUGGUUUCGGUUCGGUUUCGGUUAAAUAACCGUUUUUUCCUUUCUUUACUUGGUGUGUAGUGUGCUAUAAUAUGCAAGAUUUGUGUACUAAUAAAUACUUGAUUUCGAAUUUAACUAGUUUUUACCAUCUCUAUUUCUAACUCAACAUGCCUAGAGGGCAAGAUAUCCUU